AGUAGGGGCUUCUGAGACAGACACCCAGGACUGGAUUGACAUCAGUGCUGCUGACUGUUAAGUAUUCAGGGAUUUUGCAAGCCUCUUGUUAAACUAUCGAUCCCUUGAAACUGGCCAUGAUGGAAGGUAAUAUUUACACCACAGAAAUUGGCACACUAUGACUCCAGGCUUUCUCCCUUCCUCCCUUCCUCCUUUCCUCCCUUUCCCUCUCUCUGUCUCUCUCUCUGUCUCUGUCUUUCCCUCUCUUUUUCUUAUUUUUCAGAGAGUGGUUUACCAGAGUGCUCCUGGCUCAAGUCCCUGCUUGGACACAUGUUAAGUGUGUGACUGCUCCAAGCCCCUGUCCCCUCUGGGAAACUCAGACUUUGAGGGUACAGCCCCAGCUUCAGAAGAUUACAAGAAGUAGAUGGCUGUCUGGCGACUUUGAGUGUGUGUCCCACACACACUGCACCGCUAGUGAUCCACCAGAAAAUCCCCAGCUGCAGACCUACACUCUGGUACCAGCAGCACGAACACCUACAGAUCUAAGAGGAAGCCCAUGCGAGCCAGAGAAGGUGGGGUGAAUCCCAGAGAGAAGAGAGUCGGAGGAGGAAUUCCUAA